ACUCAGGUGUUGUUGGGUAGGGGAGCGUUCUGUAAGCCUGCGAAGGUGGCCUGUGAGGGUUGCUGGAGGUAUCAGAAGUGCGAAUGCUGACAUAAGUAACGAUAAAGCGGGUGAAAAGCCCGCUCGCCGGAAGACCAAGGGUUCCUGUCCAACGUUAAUCGGGGCAGGGUGAGUCGACCCCUAAGGCGAGGCCGAAAGGCGUAGUCGAUGGGAAACGGGUUAAUAUUCCCGUACUUGGUGUUACUGCGAAGGGGGGACGGAGAAGGCUAUGUUGGCCGGGCGACGGUUGUCCCGGUUUAAGCGUGUAGGUGUGUGUUCCAGGUAAAUCCGGUUCACUUUAACACUGAGGCGUGACGACGAGGCACUACGGUGCUGAAGCAACAAAUGCCCUGCUUCCAGGAAAAGCCUCUAAGCAUCAGGUAACAUCAAAUCGUACCCCAAACCGACACAGGUGGUCAGGUAGAGAAUACCAAGGCGCUUGAGAGAACUCGGGUGAAGGAACUAGGCAAAAUGGUGCCGUAACUUCGGGAGAAGGCACGCUGACACGUAGGUGAAGUGAUUUACUCAUGGAGCUGAAGUCAGUCGAAGAUACCAGCUGGCUGCAACUGUUUAUUAAAAACACAGCACUGUGCAAACACGAAAGUGGACGUAUACGGUGUGACGCCUGCCCGGUGCCGGAAGGUUAAUUGAUGGGGUCAGCGCAAGCGAAGCUCCUGAUCGAAGCCCCGGUAAACGGCGGCCGUAACUAUAACGGUCCUAAGGUAGCGAAAUUCCUUGUCGGGUAAGUUCCGACCUGCACGAAUGGCGUAAUGAUGGCCAGGCUGUCUCCACCCGAGACUCAGUGAAAUUGAACUCGCUGUGAAGAUGCAGUGUACCCGCGGCAAGACGGAAAGACCCCGUGAACCUUUACUAUAGCUUGACACUGAACAUUGAGCCUUGAUGUGUAGGAUAGGUGGGAGGCUUUGAAGUGUGGACGCCAGUCUGCAUGGAGCCGACCUUGAAAUACCACCCUUUAAUGUUUGAUGUUCUAACGUGGACCCGUUACCCGGGUUGCGGACAGUGUCUGGUGGGUAGUUUGACUGGGGCGGUCUCCUCCUAAAGAGUAACGGAGGAGCACGAAGGUUGGCUAAUCCUGGUCGGACAUCAGGAGGUUAGUGCAAUGGCAUAAGCCAGCUUGACUGCGAGCGUGACGGCGCGAGCAGGUGCGAAAGCAGGUCAUAGUGAUCCGGUGGUUCUGAAUGGAAGGGCCAUCGCUCAACGGAUAAAAGGUACUCCGGGGAUAACAGGCUGAUACCGCCCAAGAGUUCAUAUCGACGGCGGUGUUUGGCACCUCGAUGUCGGCUCAUCACAUCCUGGGGCUGAAGUAGGUCCCAAGGGUAUGGCUGUUCGCCAUUUAAAGUGGUACGCGAGCUGGGUUUAGAACGUCGUGAGACAGUUCGGUCCCUAUCUGCCGUGGGCGCUGGAGAACUGAGGGGGGCUGCUCCUAGUACGAGAGGACCGGAGUGGACGCAUCACUGGUGUUCGGGUUGUCAUGCCAAUGGCACUGCCCGGUAGCUAAAUGCGGAAGAGAUAAGUGCUGAAAGCAUCUAAGCACGAAACUUGCCCCGA
rnacentral:rRNA from 1 species